GUCCACGCCCUAAACUAUGUCAACUGGUUGUUGGGGGUUUGACACUCUCAGUAACGAAGCUAACGCGUGAAGUUGACCGCCUGGGGAGUACGGCCGCAAGGUUAAAACUCAAAGGAAUUGACGGGGACCCGCACAAGCGGUGGAUUAUGUGGAUUAAUUCGAUGCAACGCGAAAACCUUACCUACCCUUGACAUGUCCUGAAGCCUGGAGAGAUCCGGGUGUGCCCCGAAAGGGACGGGAACACAGGUGCUGCAUGGCUGUCGU
rnacentral:rRNA from 1 species